rnacentral:rRNA from 1 species
CCCUUAGAGUUUGAUCCUGGCUCAGGACGAACGCUGGCGGCGUGCUUAACACAUGCAAGUCGAACGAGGCCGGGUCUUCGGACCCGAGUCGAGUGGCGGACGGGUGCGUAACACGUGAGUGACCUGACCUUGUGAGGGGGACAACCCGGGGAAACCCGGGCUAAUACCGCAUGGGCGCGGCCGUCGAGGUCGCGUGAAAGUCGGCCUAUCCUUGGAAGCCGACGCGCAGGGAGGGGCUCGCGGCGUAUCAGCUUGUUGGUGAGGUAACGGCUCACCUAGGCGACGACGCGUAGCGGGUCUGAGAGGACGACCCGCCACAUUGGAACUGAGACACGGUCCAGACUCCUACGGGAGGCAGCAGUGGGGAAUAUUGGGCAAUGGCCGAAAGGCUGACCCAGCGACGCCGCGUGCGGGAUGACGCUUUUCGGAGUGUAAACCGCUGUCAGAGGGGAAGAAGACCUUCGGGGUGAAUAAUCCCGAGGGCUGACGGUACCUUCAGAGGAAGCACCGGCUAACUCCGUGCCAGCAGCCGCGGUAAGACGGAGGGUGCGAGCGUUGUUCGGAAUUACUGGGCGUAAAGCGCGCGCAGGUGGGUGCGCAAGUCGGAGGUGAAAGCGCAGGGCUCAACCCUGCGACGCCCUUCGAGACUGCGUGUCUAGGGACCGGUAGAGGUGAGUGGAAUUCCCGGUGUAGCGGUGGAAUGCGUAGAUAUCGGGAAGAACACCGG